rnacentral:rRNA from 1 species
AACGAACGCUGGCGGCGCGUCUUAACCAUGCAAGUCGAGCGGCAGGCAGCAAUGCCGAGAGCGGCGGACUGGUGAGUAACACGUGGAUAACGUACCCCGAUGUCCGGGACAGCCUGUAGAAAUAGAGGGUGAUACCGGAUAGAUCACUGUAUACGGAAGGUAGACAGCGGGAAAGGAGCUUCGGCUCCGCGCCGGGAACGGUCUGCGGCCCAUCAGCUGGACGGCGGGGUAACGGCCCGCCGUGGCGAGGACGGGUAUCCGGCCUGAGAGGGCGGACGGACACAUUGGGACUGAGAUACGGCCCAGACUCCUACGGGAGGCAGCAGGUAAGAAUAUUCCGCAAUGGGGGGAACCCUGACGGAGCGACGCCGCGUGAACGAAGAAGGCCGGAAGGUUGUAAAGUUCUUUUCUGUCCGAGGAAUAAGUGUAGGAGGAAAUGCCUGCAUGGUGACGGUAGGGCAGGAAUAAGCACCGCUAAUUAC